CCUGGUUGAUUCUCCCAUAGAGAUAUGCUUGUCUCAAAGAUUAAGCCAUGCAUGUCUCAUUAUAAACACGUUAUACUGUGAAACUGCGAAUGGCUCAUUAAAUCAGUUAUAGUUUAUUUGAUGGUUUUUGCUACAUGGAUAACUGUGGUAAUUCUAGAGCUAAUACAUGCGUACAAGCCCCGACUUCUGGAAGGGGUGUAUUUAUUAGAUAAAAAUCAACACUGUUGGUGAAUCAUGAUAACUUCUCGGAUCGCAUGGCCUCGUGCUGGCGAUACUUCAUUCAAAUAUCUGCCCUAUCAACUGUCGAUGGUAGGAUAGAGGCCUACCAUGGUUGCAACGGGUAACGGGGAAUAAGGGUUCGAUUCCGGAGAGGGAGCCUGAUAAACGGCUACCACAUCCAAGGAAGGCAGUUGGUGCGCAAAUUACCCAAUCCCGACAUGGGGAGGUAGUGACAAUAUGUAACAAUAUACGGCUUUAUCGUCCUAUAAUUGGAAUGAGUACAAUUUAAAUCCCUUAACGAGCAACAAUUGGAGGGCAAGUCUGGCGCCCGCAGCCCUGGUAAUUCCAGCUCC
rnacentral:rRNA from 1 species